CCUACGGGUGGCAGCAGUGAGGAAUAUUGGUCAAUGGCCGCAAGCCUGAACCAGCCAAGUAGCGUGAGGGAUGACUGCCCUAUGGGUUGUAAACUUCUUUUAUGCGGGGAUAAAGGUGUCCACGUGUGCCUGUUUGCAGGUACUGUAUGAAUAAGGAUCGGCUAAUUCCGUGCCAGCAGCCGCGGUAAUACGGAGGGUCCGAGCGUUAUCCGGAUUUAUUGGGUUUAAAGGGAGCGUAGACGGGUUGUUAAGUGAGCUGUGAAAGUUUGCGGCUCAACCAUAAAAUUGCGAUGGAUACUGGAAGCCUUGAGUGCACGUGAGGCAGGCGGAAUUCGUGGUGUAGCGGUGAAAUGCUUAGAUAUCACGAAGAACCCCGAUUGCGAAGGCAGCCUACUGAAGUGUUACUGACACUGAUGCUCGAAAGUGCGGGUAUCAAACAGGAUUAGAUACCCGUGUAGUC
rnacentral:rRNA from 1 species